rnacentral:rRNA from 1 species
CAACGUGAGUGACCUGCCCUGGAGUGGGGAAUAACUCUGCGAAAGCAGAGCUAAUACCGCAUUCGCUUACCGUUUCAUUUCGGUAAGUAAAGCUCAAUGCGCUUCAGGAGGGGCUUGCGGCCGAUUAGCUAGUCGGUGGGGUAAUGGCCUACCGAGGCAACGAUCGGUAGCUGGUCUGAGAGGAUGACCAGCCACACUGGGACUGAGACACGGCCCAG